rnacentral:rRNA from 1 species
GACGAACGCUGGCGGCGUGCUUAACACAUGCAAGUCGAACGGAAAGGCCCUGCUUUUGUGGGGUGCUCGAGUGGCGAACGGGUGAGUAACACGCGAGUAACCUGCCCUUGACUUUGUGGUAACUUCAGGAAACUGCGGCUAAUACCGGAUAGGAGCUACUGCUGCACGGUGGGGGUUGGAAAGUUUCGGCGGUUGGGGAUGGUCUCGCGGCUUACCAGCUUGUUGGUGGAGUAGGGGCUUACGAAGGCUUGGAAGGGUAGCCGGCCUGGGAGCGUGACCGGGGACAAUGGGACUGAGAGACGGACCAGUAGGCUACGGGAGGCAGUAGGGGGGAGCCUUACGGAGUAGGCGGACGUGAGAGGCGGCGGCGCUGGGUGCGGAAUGCCGGGCUUUGGGUGGUAAACAGAUUUCGACGGAGACGAAGCGGGAGUGACGGUAAUGGAUAAGAAAGCAACGGCUAACUACGUG